ACAAGUAUUUUGGAACGGAGGGAGUACUAGCAUAGCGAUUGUUGUUAUUGGCAGUGGUGGUUCAGACCUGGUUGAUCCUGGGGAGAGGUUGUUUGAUUGGAGUCACAUCGGAUUAUCUCUAUCAAGUGCAAUAGUAGCAAUACCCGGCCAUAGCUUCAGUAUGUAAAAUGCUUGUAGCAUUUGCAAUCAAAAGGUAUCAUCAUCAUUGAGUGGCCUCCGGACAUAGUUCAACUGUUGUUACUCUUUUCGCUAAAGUGAAAUACAUGGUUUUCUGUGAGAACUUAAUUCUUUGAACUUCGAGAUCAUCUACCUUUUUUGGGACACUGCAGGACAUGGUUGAUAAUCAUGACAGUAAACUUUGGUGGAGAUCAAGGCCUGGUUAAAACCAAGUGAGCUUUUGUAGCUAGACUGUUUAAAAUGGAUGAAAUGGGCCAGUUACUGUUAUACAUGAAAUUCUGGACAGGGGCAUUCCGGCGAUCUGUGGACAGACUGGCUUGAGGACGAGCAGGGGCUUUUGAGAGCUGGGGCCGGCAGCUUAGCGGUGAACAGGGAUGACGGUGUAUGGAAGUGGGCUGUGGUGGGCAUGGAACAACAUGGCCCAUGUCGCCUCUUCAUUCAGCUCAACAUGAUGGUCGUUCAUCUGAAAACAAGGUUGGGAUUUGGGAAGACAAUUAUCUGAGGGUGAUUCAGAUUUGAACAUGAAUGCAAAAUACAUCUGCGAUUUGAUUUUUGUACAUGGAAUAAAUUUUGUAUAUUGUGUAUACCUUUCUUCUAUUAGUAGUUUGUAAAUAUCAUGAAUCCAGUCUUAGGCAUAAACAAGUGACAUCUG
rnacentral:rRNA from 1 species